rnacentral:piRNA from 1 species
UGUGAUCAAAUGUCAAGGAGUUCCC